rfam:Bacillus sp. CAG:988 genomic scaffold, scf5
GUCCGUAUAGUUUAAUUGGAUAAAAUAAUGGCCUCCGACGCCAUAGACUGUGGGUUCGAUUCCCACUAUGGACA